UGUAGAGGAAUUGAUGGAUGUAGAGGAAUCGAUGGAUGUAGAGGAAUCGAUGGAUGUAGAGGAAUCGAUGGAUGUAGAGGAAUCGCUGGAUGUAGAGGAAUC